AGCGAACGCUGGCGGCAGGCUUAACACAUGCAAGUCGAGCGGGCCCUUCGGGGUCAGCGGCCGACGGGUGAGUAACACGUGGGAACGUACCCUUUGGUUCGGAAUAACGCUGGGAAGCUAGCGCUAAUACCGGAUACGCCCUUUUGGGGAAAGGCUUGCUGCCGAAGGAUCGGCCCGCGUCUGAUUAGCUAGUUGGCGGGGUAAUGGCCUACCAAGGCGACGAUCAGUAGCUGGUCUGAGAGGAUGAUCAGCCACACUGGGACUGAGACACGGCCCAGACUCCUACGGGAGGCAGCAGUGGGGAAUAUUGGACAAUGGGCGCAAGCCUGAUCCAGCCAUGCCGCGUGAGUGAUGAAGGCCUUAGGGUUGUAAAGCUCUUUUGUCCGGGACGAUAAUGACGGUACCGGAAGAAUAAGCCCCGGCUAACUUCGUG
rnacentral:rRNA from 1 species